UACACACCGCCCGUCACACCAUGGGAGUGGUUCCACCAGAAGCCGGUCGCCUAACCGCAAGGAGGGCGCCGACCACGGUGAGAUUCAUGACUGGGUG
rnacentral:rRNA from 1 species